UUUGGUUUUUUUUUUUGGGGGGGGGGGGGCUCAGUUAAAGUGAUAAGCAUAUUGGGAGUUGCCUGGGUGACAUGAAGGGGAAGUUAGGGCUGGGCAGGGUAGCAAAUGCCUGUAAUCCCAGCACACGGGAGGCGUGGCCAGACUUGACUACAGGGGACGUUAGAGACCAGUGGGAGCAGAGUGGGGGUAGAGUUGGUGUUGAAAGUGACUUGGGGGUUGGGGAUUUAGCUCAGUGGUAGAGUGCUUGCCUAGCAAGCGCAAGGCCCUGGGUUCGGUCCCCAGCUCUGAAAAAAAAAAAAAAAAAAAAAAAAGAAAGUGACUUGGGUGGGGUGUUCCUAACAGCCGGGGACAUAAAUUAGAUAUAGAUGAGACCGAUGUACACAGAGGAUUCGGGUACUGACGUCCUUGCUUUGCUCCGAAGGUGAUUAUCGGGACGAUCAUGUCUUUUCCCUCUACUUCAUGAUGCCAUUUUUUUUUACCACCUUGGGAUUGCUGUACCAUAACUGGUACCCGUCUCAGGUGUUUGUGGGAGACACCUUCUGUUAUUUUGCUGGCAUGACCUUUGCCGUGGUGGGAAUCUUGGGACACUUCAGCAAGACCAUGCUGCUCUUCUUUAUGCCACAAGUAUUCAAUUUCCUCUACUCACUGCCUCAGCUCUUUCAGAUCAUCCCCUGCCCUCGACACCGUAUGCCCAGACUCAAUACGAAGACAGGCAAACUGGAGAUGAGCUAUUCCAAGU
rnacentral:lncRNA from 1 species